rnacentral:snRNA from 1 species
GGCUCAUAUUAAGAAAUUCAA